UCCCUCGUGGCGCAAUUGGCUAGCGCGUUUGACUGUUAGGAGCUCAUCCAAGCCAUCAGGAGGUUGGUGGUUCAAGCCCACCCGAGGGAG
rfam:Rachicladosporium antarcticum strain CCFEE 5527 scaffold_40, whole genome shotgun sequence.